GGGAUGUGUUCUGGCAGUCAGGCAGCUGUGCCCUUUUUUCAAAGUGGCAUACAAGCAUAAGAUCGAGCUUUAAAGGACCCUGUUGAAUACCCCCCACAGGCCAGGGGCAAAUGGUGCCCAAUGUGGCCUUUGGGUCUGGGGUCUGAGAGAACAUGACUCUUCGAAAGGAUGUCUGCCUCCCAGGAUUGCUGCUUCAUCAGGAAGUGAGUGAAGAUUCACGCAGAGAUCGCCACAGGGUCACCUGCCUGUGAAACUGAUCUGAGAAAGUUUAAUCAGGAACCUUGAAGAAUCUUCUGACCACGAGGAAAGCCAAC